UACGGGGGGCGCAAGCGUUGUUCGGAUUUACUGGGCGUAAAGGGCGCGUAGGCGGUAGCACAAGUCAGUUGUGAAAUCUCCGGGCUUAACUCGGAAAGGUCAACUGAUACUGUGCGACUAGAGUGCAGAAGGGGCAACUGGAAUUCUCGGUGUAGCGGUGAAAUGCGUAGAUAUCGAGAGGAACACCUGCGGCGAAGGCGGGUUGCUGGGCUGACACUGACGCUGAUGCGCGAAAGCCAGGGGAGCGAACGGG
rnacentral:rRNA from 1 species